UGCUAUGCCUGUCCUUCUAUGACAUGUUGAAUGUGUGUGAGAGUAUGUGUGCCAGUGUGUGUGGUGGGGAGAGCAGGAAAAACUGUCUCUUCAGUUCUUAGGUUUUCUGAUUGAGAGAAGCUACUCAAGGCUAUAUGGAAGGAAGCACACUGAAGGACCAUCAUCCUCACCUAGAACUGAUGUAAAUGAUGAGAUUCUGAAUUCCAAUCAGACACUGUAAUGGGGUAAAACUUUUCAGUGCUUUGGGAGGGGAUCACUGCCAUGUCAUGGGGACAUUCAAACAGCCUUAUGGAGAGGGACACAUGAUAUGAACUUAAAGCCUCCUGCCAGUGGUCAAUGCCAAAUUACCAAGGCACUAGUGAGCAGAUCCUUCAGCCCCAGGUCUGCUGGAGUUUGCUGGAGGUCCACUCCAGACCCUGUUUCCCUGGGUAUCAUCAGCGGGAGCUGCAGAACAGCGAAGAUUGCUGCCUGCUCCUUCCUCUGGAAGCUUCAUCCCAAAG
rnacentral:lncRNA from 1 species